rnacentral:rRNA from 1 species
CCUACGGGUGGCAGCAGUGGGGAAUAUUGGGCAAUGGACGCAAGUCUGACCCAGCAACGCCGCGUGAAGGAAGAAGGCUUUCGGGUUGUAAACUUCUUUUUAGGGGGAAGAGCAGAAGACGGUACCCCUUGAAUAAGCCACGGCUAACUACGUGCCAGCAGCCGCGGUAAUACGUAGGUGGCAAGCGUUGUCCGGAUUUACUGGGUGUAAAGGGCGUGCAGACGGUUAGAAAAGUCAGAUGUGAAAUCUACGGGCUCAACUCGUGAACUGCAUUUGAAACUGGUUCCCUUGAGUAUCGGAGAGGUAAGCGGAAUUCGUUGUGUAGCGGUGAAAUGCGUAGAUAUAAGGAAGAACACCAGUGGCGAAGGCAGAUUACUGGACGAUAACUGACGGUGAGGCGCGAAAGCGUGGGGAGCAAACAGGAUUAGAUACCCUUGUAGUC